GCUCAGGGUGGGGGAGGGGGGGAGGACAAUAGGUCCGCCCCCCCUUAUUGUAAUUUACGUCUUUUUUUUUUCAACAGUGAGCAGCCACAGGCUGCUCACUGUUUAGUAGACAUGCCCCUACUCGCGGUAUAGUGAGUAGGGGCAUUUGGGAGAUUUAAAUCUCUCUUGUGCUAUUAUGGGGGUCAUAUUGACCCCCAUAGAGUGAGAGGGGGUACUGG
rnacentral:lncRNA from 1 species